rnacentral:rRNA from 1 species
AGAGUUUGAUCCUGGCUCAGGAUGAACGCUAGCUACAGGCUUAACACAUGCAAGUCGAGGGGCAGCAUUUCAGUUUGCUUGCAAACUGGAGAUGGCGACCGGCGCACGGGUGAGUAACACGUAUCCAACCUGCCGAUAACUCGGGGAUAGCCUUUCGAAAGAAAGAUUAAUACCCGAUGGUAUAAUCAGACCGCAUGGUCUUGUUAUUAAAGAAUUUCGGUUAUCGAUGGGGAUGCGUUCCAUUAGGCAGUUGGUGAGGUAACGGCUCACCAAACCUUCGAUGGAUAGGGGUUCUGAGAGGAAGGUCCCCCACAUUGGAACUGAGACACGGUCCAAACUCCUACGGGAGGCAGCAGUGAGGAAUAUUGGUCAAUGGACGCGAGUCUGAACCAGCCAAGUAGCGUGAAGGAUGACUGCCCUAUGGGUUGUAAACUUCUUUUAUAUGGGAAUAAAGUUUUCCACGUGUGGAAUUUUGUAUGUACCAUAUGAAUAAGGAUCGGCUAACUCCGUGCCAGCAGCCGCGGUAAUACGGAGGAUCCGAGCGUUAUCCGGAUUUAUUGGGUUUAAAGGGAGCGUAGGUGGACAGUUAAGUCAGUUGUGAAAGUUUGCGGCUCAACCGUAAAAUUGCAGUUGAUACUGGCUGUCUUGAGUACAGUAGAGGUGGGCGGAAUUCGUGGUGUAGCGGUGAAAUGCUUAGAUAUCACGAAGAACUCCGAUUGCGAAGGCAGCUCACUGGACUGCAACUGACACUGAUGCUCGAAAGUGUGGGUAUCAAACAGGAUUAGAUACCCUGGUAGUCCACACAGUAAACGAUGAAUACUCGCUGUUUGCGAUAUACAGUAAGCGGCCAAGCGAAAGCAUUAAGUAUUCCACCUGGGGAGUACGCCGGCAACGGUGAAACUCAAAGGAAUUGACGGGGGCCCGCACAAGCGGAGGAACAUGUGGUUUAAUUCGAUGAUACGCGAGGAACCUUACCCGGGCUUAAAUUGCAUUUGAAUAUAUUGGAAACAGUAUAGCCGUAAGGCAAAUGUGAAGGUGCUGCAUGGUUGUCGUCAGCUCGUGCCGUGAGGUGUCGGCUUAAGUGCCAUAACGAGCGCAACCCUUAUCUUUAGUUACUAACAGGUCAUGCUGAGGACUCUAGAGAGACUGCCGUCGUAAGAUGUGAGGAAGGUGGGGAUGACGUCAAAUCAGCACGGCCCUUACGUCCGGGGCUACACACGUGUUACAAUGGGGGGUACAGAAGGCAGCUACCUGGUGACAGGAUGCUAAUCCCAAAAGCCUCUCUCAGUUCGGAUCGAAGUCUGCAACCCGACUUCGUGAAGCUGGAUUCGCUAGUAAUCGCGCAUCAGCCAUGGCGCGGUGAAUACGUUCCCGGGCCUUGUACACACCGCCCGUCAAGCCAUGAAAGCCGGGGGUACCUGAAGUACGUAACCGCAAGGAGCGUCCUAGGGUAAAACUGGUAAUUGGGGCUAAGUCGUAACAAGGUAGCCG